rnacentral:misc_RNA from 1 species
GACCCAUUUGAGUGGUCUUUAAUGUUUGACAGGAACACCAGAAAUGAUAAAUCGUUCAAGAAUUUUUUAUAGUAAUUCUUCGAAGCUUCUGUGAUGGGAUGGCUGCAGUGAAUGUGGAUGCAGAAUUGUAUGCUAAAAGCUGCCCUCUUCCUGUGUGUCUUCCAUUUUGAUCGAGUUAUUUCUGAAUUUUUAUUUUAUUAUCUUAUUUAUUUUAUCAAUCCAAUUCAUAAGUUAAAAAAUAAAAAACAAAAAAUAAAUUGUUGGUUGUUUUAUUUUUCUAUGUUUGUGUAGGCUCUACGUAUUGGUAUGGAACCUCUGGGGAUAUUGCGACACUAGAGUUAAUCCUUCGAUUCCUUAAUGGCUGUAAGAGACUAAAAAAGCCAGACGGCUCUACCACGCCGGCUCUCGAGUCCUAAGUUUGGUCCCUAGCUAGUUUUUCAUCCGUGCUAAAGCCUCUGAGACGUCAACUUUUAGCAUGGAGUUCUUUUAUAAGCUCAAUUGGACUUCGUUCGGCAUGCUAUCUACUGGUGCGAGGUCUCUCUUACUCUUGCUUCCCUAGGUUUCAACAUCAUUCAGCAGAUGGUUGACCAGCACAGUGCCAAAGGUGGCGGCUAGGGUUUCUGCCAGCUCGUUUCGAGGCCUUGCUUCUUCGAGUUGGAUUCAAUCAUAACUAGAGGGGUUUCUGUGGAUGCUCUGGGCCUGAAUCUUUUGAGAUGUGGGUACUGUUGUUUAGUCAAGGGACUCUCUCUACAUUGGACCUAAACUUAGGCUUGUAUUGCUUUCUCUUUCUUUAAGCCUAUAUCUGCAAUGUUUAUGCUUAAUGAAA